GAUGAAGAACGCAGUGAAAUGCGAUACGUAAUGUGAAUUGCAGAAUUCAGUGAAUCAUCGAAUCUUUGAACGCAUAUUGCGCUCUCUGGUAUUCCGGAGAGCAUGCUUGUUUGAGUAUCAGUAAACACCUCAACUCCCCUUUCUUUUUUUGAAAUGGGAGCUGGACUUGAGUGAUCCCAACGCUUUUCUCACCGAAAAGUGGCGGGUUACUUGAAAUGCAGGUGCAGCUGGACUUUUCUCUGAGCUAAAUGCAUAUCUAUUUAGUCUGCCUAAAAAACAGAUUAUUACCUUUGCUGCAGCUAACAUAAAGGAGAUUAGUUCUUGUGCUGACUGAUGCAGGAUUCACAGAGACAGCUUCGGCUGGCCUUUGUAAACUCGAUCUCAAAUCAAGUAAGACUACCCGCUGAACUUAAGCAUAUCAAUAAGCGGAGGA
rnacentral:misc_RNA from 1 species